UAGUUCUACGAUCUUGAAGAAGAGGGGUUGAUUCUUGUUUACUUCUUCAUCUUUUCUGUUUGGGUCCUUCUUCUUUACGACUUUGACGGCAAAGAUGCUAGUGAUGUUUUCAUCGGCUACUUCAUUAUCGUAUUGUCCUUUUCUUUUACUGUUUUGAUGGCCUCAAUUGGGGUUUUAUGAUCUUGUUUCGGUGAAAUUUUUUUGUGUUCUUGUUGGUUAUUAUAUAUGUUGAUGCUUCUUGGAGUAUGUGUUUUUACGUAGGCGCACUGCAAUCUCCUUCUCUGUACUAGAUCUUGGAAAGGCAAGAACAAUAUGGUUUCUUGCAUUUUCUUGGAAAGCCUUAUUAUUGUUUAUGUGAUGAUAGAAUUAUUACCGCGAUCGUAGUUUUGUUCUUUGAAAUUUGUAUAUGCGUUUCAGGGUUUUAAUCUGCGUCCUCCUUUAUUGCCAAUCCUGACAGGAUUAGGAAGGAAUUUGAAAUUCUUGAAGAUGUUCACGGUUCGCUGUUCGCACUAUGUAUCAGUAGACUUAACUCGUCUCCAGAAUUGCUGGAACCUAUUGCUGCCAUCAAUUCUAGAACUGACCGACGCCUCACCUGCAAAGGUACCUACGUAGUGUAGGUUCAAUCGCACACUGAAGACAACAUUCACUUAUGUGCCUUUCCUGAACCAGAAGUCUUCAAAAUUGAAACCGGCUCCGAAAGCUUACUAGAUGGCCCUGAUGCAAUACACAUUCAUCUUGUGACUCUGCUGUAAGUGUUGCCAUCUGUUGGAACCAGUAGUCCAACUGUGGGACGAGUUGAUCAGAACUGGUAAAUAUGUUUUUUGUGCUUCUGACAACUCUCUAAUGCAGUUGAAGCCUGUUACAAAGUCAAUUUGAUGGUCAUUUCACAGUAUGAAAGCCUUCUUAUUCACUAUUAUAUCGAUCAAAUAGGGAUGAAUUGAAAUAGUGCUACCUCAACUUUAUUGCAUUUUCUGGUUUUGUGGCUGGAUUAGCUCAAGUCUUAUGCUCAUUUCUAGUCGCUUUUCCCGAUUUUUGAGGUCUUUGAUGCUCAAUCCAGAAAGUUCUUCUCCCAAAAGCUGCCUGCAAUUAUCACAGAAGAGGAUUGUGGUUUAUUCUGUACGUAUCCUUUUACUGGUUUGAUUUAUGAAUGUAGGAUGAGCUAUACUUCUGAUUGAACGCAUCUUUCGUUGUUUUAAAUAGAAGUUUCUGAAUCUAAGUAUUUUUGUAUGGUUAGAUGUUUCUUGGCUUUUGAACUAGCUCAUGAUCAAUCAUCUCUCCUUUUUCUCUAGUUAGGCCAUCCAAUAAUGAAUUGAUCUUUCAGUAAUGUAGAGAAAUUGAAUCUAAUUCCUCUAGUUAGGCCAACUUGUGGCUUUGCUGCAAAUAC